UUGCAAACUCGAUCACUGGCUCUGCGUGAUGUGGCAGAAGCAAGGGGAACAGGUUUGCUAAAUUAAAUGUGGUAGCAGAAGCAUUUGGCCUUAAUCAUAAUGCUAAGGCUGUUUAUUCUUUACCAUGACAACA